GGGGAAAUGGCUCAGUGGUUAAGAGCACUGGCUGUUCUUCCAGAGGACCUGGGUUCAAUUCCUAGUACCUA
rnacentral:tRNA from 1 species